UGGGGAAUAUUGGACAAUGGGCGCAAGCCUGAUCCAGCAAUGCCGCGUGUGUGAAGAAGGCCUGCGGGUUGUAAAGCACUUUCGGUGGGGAGGAAGGCCUAAGUUUUAAUAGAGCUUAGGAUUGACGUUACCCACAGAAGAAGCACCGGCUAACUCUGUGCCAGCAGCCGCGGUAAUACAGAGGGUGCGAGCGUUAAUCGGAAUUACUGGGCGUAAAGGGUGCGUAGGUGGUUAAUUAAGUUAGAUGUGAAAUCCCUGGGCUUAACCUAGGAAUUGCAUUUAAGACUGAUUAGCUAGAGUUUGGGAGAGGGAAGUGGAAUUUCCGGUGUAGCGGUGAAAUGCGUAGAUAUCGGAAGGAACACCAGUGGCGAAGGCGGCUUCCUGGCCCGAUACUGACACUGAGGCACGAAAGCGUGGGGAGCGAACAGG
rnacentral:rRNA from 1 species